rnacentral:rRNA from 1 species
GACGAACGCUGGCGGCGCGCUUUAUACAUGCAAGUCGAACGUGAAGCUCGGAGCUUGCUCCGGGUGGAAAGUGGCGAACGGGUGAGUAUCACGUGAGAAACCUGCCCCGAAGACCGGGAUAACACCGGGAAACCGGUGCUAAUACCGGAUGCCCUCACCGGAUCGCAUGGUCUGGUGAGGAAAUGGAUUCCGCUUCGGGAUGGUCUCGCGGCCUAUCAGCUUGUUGGUGGGGUAACGCCCACCAAGGCUUCGACGGGUAGCUGGUCUGAGAGGAUGUCCAGCCACACUGGGACUGAGACACGGCCCAGACUCCUACGGGAGGCAGCAGUAGGGAAUCUUGCACAAUGGACGAAAGUCUGAUGCAGCGACGCCGCGUGUGGGAUGACUGCCCU